GAUGAACGCUAGCGGCAGGCCUAAUACAUGCAAGUCGAGGGGUAGUGGAAGCUUGCUUCCAUGAGACCGGCGCACGGGUGCGUAACGCGUAUGCAACCUACCUUUAUCUGGGGGAUAGCCCGAAGAAAUUCGGAUUAACACCGCAUAAAAUCACAGAGCCGCAUGGUUCAAUGAUCAAAUAUUUAUAGGAUGAAGAUGGGCAUGCGUGUCAUUAGUUAGUUGGCGGGGUAACGGCCCACCAAGACCGCGAUGACUAGGGGAUCUGAGAGGAUGACCCCCCACACUGGUACUGAGACACGGACCAGACUCCUACGGGAGGCAGCAGUAAGGAAUAUUGGUCAAUGGAGGCAACUCUGAACCAGCCAUGCCGCGUGCAGGAAGACAGCCCUCUGGGUCGUAAACUGCUUUUAUUCGGGAAUAAACCUACUUACGUGUAAGUAGCUGAAUGUACCGAAGGAAUAAGGAUCGGCUAACUCCGUGC
rnacentral:rRNA from 1 species